GCAUUGGUAGCUCAGUGGUAGAAUUCUCGCCUUCCAUGUGAAAGAACUGGGUUCAAUUCCCAGCCAACGCA
rnacentral:tRNA from 1 species